ensembl:lncRNA novel transcript
UCUUGUGUCUUGUCUAUAGGAAGGGAGUGUAUCCUGGUGUAAGACAGCAUAUAGUAGAGACCAUUGUCAAUUAGGGCCUGUGAACUAAGACAGGGUGACUGGCUAAGUCCACAACCCAUUAGAAACCCAGAAAUAAUCAAAUCAUGGAGAGAUUAGACCAGGGACAAUAAAUAUGGAUUAGGCAAGAAUGUGUUAACUCAGCAGCCCAGGGUUUUUUCAACCCUGCACAUUCAAAGAGGGAUCAUGGAAAGGAAGCUGAAUUUGCCAAGUUUUGCCACUUGGGCAUUGCAUGCCUAUGUGAUUAACCACCAAUAAAAACCUGGGACAUCAAAGAAUAAAUAAGCUGCUCUAAUUGCCAAGAAUUCACAUGUGGUUGUAUGCAGCUUUACUGGGAGACUGAAGUGUAUCUGCAUGUGAUUCUGCUGUGAUGGACACUUGUAAGUUUGUGCCUGGAGUCUCCUGGACUUUGCCCUGAGAAUCUUUUUCCUUUGUUGAUACGACUCUGCAUCCUUUUGUUUUAAUAAACUGUAAACAUGAGUAUAA